UACAGAGGUCUCAAGCGUUGUUCGGAUUCAUUGGGCGUAAAGGGUGCGUAGGUGGCGCGGUAAGUCGGGUGUGAAAUCUCGGAGCUUAACUCCGAAAUUGCAUUCGAUACUGCCGUGCUUGAGGACUGGAGAGGAGACUGGAAUUUACGGUGUAGCGGUGAAAUGCGUAGAUAUCGUAAGGAAGACCAGUGGCGAAGGCGGGUCUCUGGACAGUUCCUGACGCUGAGGCACGAAGGUCAGGGGAGCAAACGGG
rnacentral:rRNA from 1 species